AUUUACCGAUCAUGUUGACUUCGGUAACCUUGGCUUGGCUAACAAGCCUCACUAAGAAUACUAUCGACUCCUGGGCCGAGUUGAACACUCAGUU
rnacentral:snoRNA from 1 species